rnacentral:rRNA from 1 species
UACGGAGGAUCCGAGCGUUGUCCGGAAUUACUGGGUGUAAAGGGCGUGUAGGUGGGUCUUUAAGUCGAUGGUGAAAUCCUGCAGCUCAACUGUAGAAUUGCCGUCGAUACUGGAGGUCUUGAGUGCGGCAGAGGGAGACGGAAUUCAUGGUGUAGCGGUGAAAUGUGUAGAUAUCAUGAAGAACACCGGUUGCGAAGGCGGUCUCCUGGCCCGUUACUGACACUGAUGCGCGGAAGCGUGGGGAGCAAACAGG